GAUGAACGCUGGCGGCGUGCCUAAUACAUGCAAGUCGAACGAGGUGCUCCUCGGUGGCAACACCUUGGGGUUACCUAGUGGCGAACGGGUGAGUAACACGUGAGGAACCUGCCCCGAAGACCGGGAUAACCAGAGGAAACUCUGGCUAAUACCGGAUGCCCCCACCGGACCGCAUGGUCUGGUGAGGAAAUGGAUUCCGCUUCGGGAGGGCCUCGCGGCCUAUCAGCUUGUUGGUGGGGUAACGGCCUACCAAGGCGUCGACGGGUAGCUGGUCUGAGAGGACGAUCAGCCACACUGGGACUGAGACACGGCCCAGACUCCUACGGGAGGCAGCAGUAGGGAAUCUUGCGCAAUGGGCGAAAGCCUGACGCAGCAACGCCGCGUGCGGGAUGAAGGCCUUCGGGUUGUAAACCGCUUUCAGCAGGGACGAAAUUGACGGUACCUGCAGAAGAAGCCCCGGCCAACUACGUGCCAGCCGCCGCGGUAAAAC
rnacentral:rRNA from 1 species